UAACCACAUUACGUGCUUUAAACUGCUAUUGUAAAACAAACUUUUUGCAAAACUCUAAAAACACAGCUAUCUACAUUAUACACAUCAUUCAAAAGUAGCAGCUCUUUUGUUCCAUUUGGAAAAACACUGCCAUUUAAAUGCCACACUCAUUUAAUGAUGACCUUCAGCCAGUGAUCAUGUGUAAAAACAGACAUAAUUUGUUCACUUAGAAAUCAAAACGAAAGAUUUUUACCCCCUUGCAUUUCUGUUUACAUUGUAUAUAUAUAUGUAUGUAUAUCUAUAUAUAUAUAUAUGUAUAUCUAUAUACUGUGUGUGUGUGUGUGUGCGCGCGGUUUGCCCUCAUUCUUCUCUUCUUUCUUUAUUAGUUAAGUCUCUACAGCACGUCUGCAUGAUCUUGAGCAGUUUAAGCUCCUUCACAGCUCUGUUAUGGCGAAUGUUCAAAACAGGAUUCUUCAUCUGGAUCUCUCUAUCAUCAUUAUUUUCCUGAUUCAUGCAGAUUAUUCCAAAUCUAAUCAAGAGCAAAGGAUUCAGCAGCACAUCAACAAAACAGUGUUUGUGGGGGAAACAGUUACACUUCACUGCAACAAAACCCAACUUGAUGAUGAUUUCACAUGGAAAAUGAACAACUCUGUUAUUUUUAGGCAGGUCUCUGAUAUUAACAUAACUAAGACAAACUUCAGCUCAAACAGGAUUCACAUCGACCCCGCAGCUCCAAGAGAAUUAACAAUACAUCAAAUACAAGCGUCUGAUGCAGGAAACUACAGCUGUUACCCAGCAGCAAUAAGAUGGACAUUAACAAUAACAGAUAUCCAGAUCAGACCAGAAUCACUCAAACAAAUGUCGCUGAACAUCAUCAUCAUUAUCAUCAUUAUCAUCUUAUGUUCUGGAGUCAUUAUGGUCUGUUUUAUCAUCACCAUCAGCAUCUGCAUUCACAGGAAACUGAGACAGAAGAUCAGCUCUGGUUCAGAGGAUGUGAAGAUGAUCUCUGACUGUGACAGACACACACUAACAGUCUGUGUAAGUCAGCUGAACUCGACACACACCUCCAUCAUGUUUACCACAUCAUGUCUGUCCCUGGCCCCCAGCAAACAUCACUGACUCACUUCUUGAUGGAAACAUGUUGUGCAAUCAAACUACUGCUCUGUAAAAAUCACUUUUGUUCCAUCCAAUUGAGACGGUGUCAUUUUAACAGCUAUAAAUAUACAUGAUAUUUAUAAACAGCACAGCAGAUAUUUGAACAAGAGAUGAAAUGUAUGUUGUUUGUGUUUCACUUGUUUUAUAUUUGUUUUCUUCAGGUCUACAGUCUUCAUACAGUUUCAUGAACAUCUUUUCUUCUCAAGACAGCAGUGUGUGUCUGACACUCAACAGAUCAUCAUUACAAUACAGGAAGAUGUUUGAGAACGAGACCAUUACAAUAAUAAAUACAGUCUCAGAGAAUCUGUAUGUGAAUGU
ensembl:lncRNA